ensembl:lncRNA
GGAUUUCGGAAGAGAAAACUCGUGGUUUUUUGGGUUAAUUGGGGGAUUUGCGAAGAGAAAUCGCGUGAUUUUCGCUUAAAUGGGGGAUUUGAGAAAACACGUGAUUUUCGGGUUAAAUGGGGGAUUCUCGAAGAGAAAAUGCUUGGUUUUCCGGUUAAAUGGGGGAUUUGCGAAGAGAAAUCGCGUGAUUUUCGCUUAAAUGGGGGAUUUGAGAAAACACAUGAUUUUCGGGUUAAAUGGGGGAUUCUCGAAGAGAAAAUGCUUGGUUUUCUGGUUAAAUGGGGGAUUUGCGAAGAGAAAACGCGUGAUUUUCGCUUAAAUGGGGGAUUUGAGAAAACGCUUGAUUUUCGGGUUAAAUGGGGGAUUCUCGAAGAGAAAAUGCUUGGUUUUCUGUUAAAUGGGGGAUUUCCGAAGAGAAAAC